AUUGAACGCUGGCGGCAUGCUUUACACAUGCAAGUCGAACGAGUGGCGCACGGGUGAGUAAUACAUCGGAACCUGUCCUAUCUUGAGGGAUAACUGAACGAAAGAUUAGCUAAUACACCAUACGAUCUGCGCGGCCUAUUCCCGAUUAGGUAGUUGGUGAGGUAAAGGCUCACAAAGGCGACGAUCGGUAGCUGGUCUGAGAGGACGACCAGCCACACUGGGACUGAGACACGGCCCAGACUCCUACGGGAGGCAGCAGUGGGGAAUUUUGGACAAUGGGGGCAACCCUGAGCCAGCCAUGCCGCGUGCAGGAUGAAGGUCUUCGGAUUGUAAACUGCUUUUGUUAGGGAAGCGGUACCUGAAGAAGAAGCACCGGCUAACUCCGUGCCAGCAGCCGCGGUAAUAC
rnacentral:rRNA from 1 species